UGAGACUAUAGCUCAGCUGGAUAGAGCAUCAGGUUGCGGACCUGAGGGUCGGAGGUUCGAAUCCUCUUAGUCUCGA
rnacentral:tRNA from 1 species